CAGUAGCCACGGGAAUACGAAGGGUGCGAGCGUUACUCGGAAUUACUGGGCGUAAAGCGUGCGUAGGUGGUGGUUUAAGUCCGUUGUGAAAGCCCUGGGCUCAACCUGGGAAUUGCAGUGGAUACUGGAUCACUAGAGUGUGGUAGAGGAUAGUGGAAUUUCCGGUGUAGCAGUGAAAUGCGUAGAGAUCGGAAGGAACAUCUGUGGCGAAGGCGACUAUCUGGGCCAACACUGACACUGAGGCACGAAAGCGUGGGGAGCAAACAGGAUUAGAUACCCCUGUAGUCCCUGUCUCUUAUAC
rnacentral:rRNA from 1 species